UUUGAAAAUAAUUUAAAGUAGGGCCUGCCCACUGAGUAAUUGAAGGGCCGCAGUAUUUUGACUGUGCAAAGGUAGCAUAAUCAUUAGUUUUUUAAUUGAAAGCUUGUAUGAAUGGUUUGAUGAGAAAAUAUCUUUCUAUGCUUAAUUAUUUAAGAACUUUAUUUUUAAGUAAAAAAGCUUAAAUUUUUUUAAUAGACGAGAAGACCCUAUAGAGUUUAAUUUUUAAAUAAAUUUUAAUUUUAAGAAUUUUAUAAUUAAUAUUUAAAUAAGAAUUUGAUUGGGGUGAUUGAAAAAUUAAAGAAACUUUUUUUAUAUAAAUACAUAAAUUUAUGAAUAUUUGAUCCAUUUAAAUGAUUAAUAGAUUAAAUUACCUUAGGGAUAACAGCGUUAUUUUUUUUUAGAGUUCAAAUCGAAAAAAGAGAUUGCGACCUCGAUGUUGGAUUAAAGUUUAUUUUAGGUGCAGAAGCUUAAUUAUUUGGUCUGUUCGACCAUUAAAACUUUACA
rnacentral:rRNA from 1 species